UGAGGAAUCUUGCGCAAUGGGGGAAACCCUGACGCAGCAACGCCGCGUGAGUGAAGAAGGCCUUCGGGUCGUAAAGCUCUGUCGGGUGGGAAGAAAUGCAUGUAGGUUAAUAUCCUGCAUGCUUGACGGUACCGCCAAAGGAAGCACCGGCUAACUCCGUGCCAGCAGCCGCGGGAAUACGGGGGGUGCAAGCGUUGUUCGGAAUUAUUGGGCGUAAAGAGCGUGUAGGCGGCAAGAUAAGUCAGAUGUGAAAGCCCUGGGCUCAACUCAGGAAGUGCAUUUGAUACUGUCUCGCUUGAGUACUGGAGAGGGAAGAGGAAUUCCUGGUGUAGAGGUGAAAUUCGUAGAUAUCAGGAGGAACACCGGUGGCGAAGGCGACUUCCUGGCCAGAUACUGACGCUGAGACGCGAGAGCGUGGGGAGCAAACA
rnacentral:rRNA from 1 species